UACGUAGGGGGCAAGCGUUGUUCGGAAUGACUGGGCGUAAAGGGUGCGUAGGCGGUGUAGCAAGUUAGAAGUGAAAUACCUGGAGCUUAACUCAGGUGCUGCUUCUAAAACUGCUAUACUUGAGUGCAGUAGAGGAAAGUGGAAUUCCUAGUGUAGCGGUGGAAUGCGUAGAUAUUAGGAGGAACAUCAGUGGCGAAGGCGACUUUCUGGACUGUAACUGACGCUGAGGCACGAAAGUGUGGGGAGCAAACAGG
rnacentral:rRNA from 1 species